GGAUCGCGGAUGAGUCCCAUAAUAGGACGAAACGGCCGUCCGGUGC
rnacentral:hammerhead_ribozyme from 1 species